rnacentral:rRNA from 1 species
CAGCAGCCGCGGUAAAACCAGCACCUCGAGUGGUCAGGAGGUUUAUUGGGCCUAAAGCAUCCGUAGCCGGUUGCAUAAGUUUUCGGUUAAAUCUAUGCGCUUAACGUAUAGGCCGCCGAAAAUACUGUGCAGCUAGGGAGUGGGAGAGGUACACGGUACUCGAUAGGAAGGGGUAAAAUCCUUUGAUCUAUUGAUGACCACCUGUGGCGAAGGCGGUGUACCAGAACACGUUCGACGGUGAGGGAUGAAAGCUGGGGGAGCAAACCGGAUUAGAUACCCCUGUAGUCCCUGUCUCUUAUAC